rnacentral:rRNA from 1 species
AGGACGAACGCUGGCGGCGUGCUUAACACAUGCAAGUCGAACGGAAAGGCCCGCUUGCGGGUACUCGAGUGGCGAACGGGUGAGUAACACGUGGGCAACCUGCCCUCAGCUUCGGGAUAACACUUGGAAACAGGUGCUAAUACCGGAUAAUAACCUUUCACCGCAUGGUGUGGGGUUCAAAGUUUUUCGGCUGGGGAUGGGCCCGCGGCCUAUCAGCUUGUUGGUGGGGUAAUGGCCUACCAAGGCGACGACGGGUAGCCGGCCUGAGAGGGCGACCGGCCACACUGGGACUGAGACACGGCCCAGACUCCUACGGGAGGCAGCAGUGGGGAAUAUUGCGCAAUGGGCGGAAGCCUGACGCAGCGACGCCGCGUGAGGGAUGACGGCCUUCGGGUGUAAACCUCUUUCAGCUCUGACGAAGCGCAAGUGACGGUAGGAGCAGAAGAAGCACCGGCCAACUACGUGCCAGCAGCCGC